UGAACUUAAGCAUAUCAAUAAGCGGAGGAAAAGAAACUAACAAGGAUUCCCCUAGUAACUGCGAGUGAAGCGGGAAAAGCUCAAAUUUAAAAUCUGGCGGUCUCUGGCCGUCCGAGUUGUAAUCUAGAGAAGUAAUGCCCGUGCUGGACCGUGUAUAAGUCUCCUGGGAUGGGGCGUCAUAGAGGGUGAGAAUCCCGUCUUUGACACGGACUACCAGUGCAUUGUGGUAUGCUCUCAAAGAGUCGAGUUGUUUGGGAAUGCAGCUCAAAAUGGGUGGUAAAUUCCAUCUAAAGCUAAAUAUUGGCGAGAGACCGAUAGCGAACAAGUACCGUGAGGGAAAGAUGAAAAGAACUUUGGAAAGAGAGUUAAACAGUACGUGAAAUUGCUGAAAGGGAAACGCUUGAAGUCAGUCGCGUUGGCCAGGGAUCAGCCUUGCUUUUGCAUGGUGUACUUUCUGGUUGAUGGGUCAGCAUCAAUUUUGACCGCUGGAAAAAGACCUGGGGAAUGUGGCAGCUUCGGCUGUGUUAUAGCCCCUAGUCGCAUACAGUGGUUGGGAUUGAGGAACUCAGCACGCCGCAAGGCCGGGUUUCGACCACGUUCGUGCUUAGGAUGCUGGCAUAAUGGCUUUAAGCGACCCGUCUUGAAACACG
rnacentral:rRNA from 1 species